GUGCUUGCUUCGGCAGCACAUAAACUAAAAUUGGAACAAUACAGAGAUUAACAUGGCCCCUGCGCAAGGAUGACAUGUAUAUUCGUGAAGUGUUCUAUAACAACUUUU
rnacentral:snRNA from 1 species